GUGAAUCAUCGAAUCUUUGAACGCAAAUUGCGCUUCUCGGCAUCCCGGGAAGUAUGCCUGUUUGAGGGCCAGUAUUAAUAAAAAAUCGGUUUAGUUAUAAAUUGUGACGUUUCUGGUGUCUGGGCUAUCUUAACAUCUUUGGUUAAGAGGUUUAAAAUUGACCUUUUUUGCGCAUUCUUAAACGUACAUAAAUUUUUUUUAUUCGUCUAUUCUUAAUGCUAAAAUAUUAUUAGAUGCGAUCACAUCGUGUGGACUCGUGUCUAUAAAAUUUU
rnacentral:misc_RNA from 1 species